AUGACUGAUGGCUACGCAUCUCUCUAGGGGUGGGGGUGGGGAAGCUGUAGGAAGCUGUAGCUGCGACAGCAGCCAGGGGCCCAAGAGGCAUGGCCAAACAACCUGCCGUCCCUUAGGGUCAUCGGGGUUCCAGGCUUGUGUUCAACCGGGGACCAGGAUGUCUGUGCACAGCUCACCGCUCCACAGGAACGUGGGAUAGAACUUUUGGACGGUUCUGUUAUAACGGGUGAAGAGUACGGUGUCUAAGGGGUUCCCAUUAUCCCAAACUCGGUUCCAUAUCCACGCCCCUCGUCUUGUGCUGAGGAAAACCUGCCAUAGAGGAGUGGACACCUGCUAGCUGUUCACCAUUCUCUGUGAUCCUAUGCAUCUCACAAAUGAUUGAUGCCUUUUCUAUAAACAAGAACAGUGUUGUUCAAAAGAAACUGAAUGUAAACACCACAAACACAACUUCAUGACAGUCACGUAAAAAUAGGAAGAAGUCUUAUUACCAUCCUGCUUCAACGUAACCUCCUGAGAACUGCGAGGGGUGUGGAUUCUCUUCUCAUCCGCUUUUCAACCAGCCGAAGGGACACAACAGUAUACAAAACAACACAGGGCGGUGCUUCUCAGCUGUCUGCAGAGGGCAAUAGGUAUCUGGGGCAGAUCUUUUGGACGGCUCUAUUAUAACGAGUGAAGAGUGUGGCGUCCAUGGGAUUCCCAUGAUCCCAAACCCGGUUCCAUAUCCACGACCCUCUUCUUGUGCUGAGGAAAACCUUCAAGAGAGGAAUGGUUGCCUGGUGACGGAAAGAACACUGAACUAUUGCCAAAAGAAGAGAGAACAAUACUUGGGUGAUGUUGUUUAUCUUCAGAUGUCCCCAAUCUCAAAUGCUAUGACAGACACAAAAUAUAAAAUUAACACUUAGGUAUGUAUGUAAAUAGUAUGCUCAUGAUAAAGUGAUAAGCAUGACUAAAAUAAAUGUAUGCCAUGUACUCACAAACACAUUCACCCAAAAUACAUCAUAACAAAAUAAAGAUGGACUAUUCCCAGCAAUUACCG